UGCAAGAGAAAGGACCAGUAUUUCUUGGU
rnacentral:piRNA from 1 species